UUUCAUUGUUAAUAUGAAAACUGAAAAAUAUUAUAUUUUACGUAAAACAAUUAAUUUAAUUUUUAUUAAAUAAUAUUAAGUUGAAAUUAAUAAGUCUGAACCAAAAAUGUAAUUGAGAUUGGGGUGUUAAUAACCGGGAGCCAGUCAAAGCGCCCCCUAAUAAAAACGUCCCGGUCAAAGUGUCCCCUAACUUUUAUCAAAGCAUCCCCUGAUUUUAGUCAAAGCGCCCCCUGAUUUUGGUCAAAGUGUCCCCUGAUUUUGAUCAAAGCGCCCCCUAACAAUUACAUAUUUUUACAAAAAAAAAAUUUAUUUAUAGAAACAAUCUUUAUUGUCCCCAAGAAAUGAUCAAAGCAUCCCCUGGUUUUGGUCAAAGCGCCCCCUAAUAUAUUUUUCAAGUCGAUCCCAAAGCAAUGUUUAAAAUGUCCCCUGAUUUUGGCCAAAGCGCCCCCUAUAGAAUUAACUGCCAAACAAUGAUAAUAUUAUAAAUAUAAAACAGUUUUAUUCCGUUAAAAACAUUAGGGGGCGCCUUGACCAAAAUCAGGGGACGCUUUCACCAAAAUAGGGGACGUUUUGACCAUUGCUUCCCAGACAAUUUUUCCUAAGAAAAAAUGUUAAGUGGCGCUUUGACCAAAUCAGGGGACGCUUUGACCAAUAUUUGGGGGCGGUUUUGUAACAUCAUAUUGUUAGGAGAGCUUUCACCAAAAUCAGGGGACGCUUUGACCAAUAUUUGGGGGCGGUUUUGUAACAUCAUUUUACUGUAAAAUUCUAUAAGGGGCGCUUUGACCAAAAUUAGGGGACGCUUUGACCAAAUUAAGGGGACGCUUUGACCAAAAUCAGGGGACGCUUUGACCGGGACGGUUUUAUUAGGGGGCGCUCUGACUGGAUUUCUAAUAACCUAUAAUGCAUUGAAUCAUUAAUGUUGCUUUCUUGUCAAACUAUCAUUAAAAAAACAAAAAUUUGAGACAAAUAUUCCCACAUCAUUUUAUAAUACUGUUUAAUCAAGUUGUAUAUACAUAAAUAAACAGUCUAAUUAUAUUAAUUGCAUAAUUUUUCUAGCGUACUGUGAAGUAUUCUAUCUUACUCUGCUUAGUAGUACCCCUUCAAAUCUGUGUCUAAGUACCUUUAACAUUUAGAACAAAGUACUAGAUUUACCGCUUUUUUGCAGGUGAUACUGCUGAUUCAGUAAUUAAAAUGCAUGUUUCCUUGUUUUUAUAUAUAUUAAUGAAUCUAUUUCACAUGUUUAAAGAAAUUAAACCUAGAGAAUAUGUCUAAAGAGUUUGAAUAAAUUCUAUGCACCGGUCAAAAAGAAAUCGCUAAAAAUUCAAAAUCCGGGACCGUCGGGAAACUAGAUUUACCGCUUGCCUAAGACUUCCGUUUUAAAAAUAGACCACAAAUUAAACGAUGCAAGCUUGGAAAAUAAUUUGGAACUAAAAAGUUAGUCCAUAGUUAGAAUUAUAAAUAUCAUUUGUUAGAAGUUAAAUUAAGAAUUUGAAAUUUCAUUUUUUAUGCAAAAAAAUUAAGCACCGCGAUAUAAUGACUGAGCCCCCUGUAUCCACCCGAAUUUUUAAAUAACUUAUUUACUAAGAUAUCAAAGAGUCCGUACAGGCAUAUUUUCUAACAAAUUCACCUCGCAAAUAAUUUUGCUGCGUCUUUUUCGAUGAUAUUUUUGUUUUUGAGAACAAUAUCUCGUCAACCCAAUGGAUUACCUUGUUUCUGUACAAUAAUUAUGCUCAUGCUGUGCUCAGACAUUGAUGCAACGUGUUUGGAAAUCCAUUGAAUAAGAAUCCCGAACCCGAUUUUCACAUGUCGCUGAAUGUCAAGAUAAAAUAUUUAAGGAUACAAACCACGAGCAAAUUUUCUUAUCUCCUACACAGAAGAUUAAAUUACAAUGGUAUUUUUUUCUUCAUUUUUUUUAAAUGGAAAUGUGUAAUCAGGGACCUAUAUGCUAGUAUAUAAGUCCAUGAUGUAAUUAUUAAAUAAGCAAAAUGUUAUCAUACACUUUUGAAAAUGUCCCCAGAAACUUUGCAGUAAGAACACUUCAUACAUCAGGACAUCUCUAAAAUUUUUUUUUUUAAAAAUGUAUAGAGUUUUAAGUUGCAUUUUCACCAAACUAUGCCAGCUUGGCCAAACACUAUACAUGUAUAUACAACAAAACAAUUAAAAUCUUAAUCCACUCAAAAAUUGAGAGAGAGAGAAAGAGAGAGAUUUGAAUUUUCGGAGAAAAAAGUUAGCGUGUAUUAUCUUUAAGAAAAAAACAUUGGUGGAUCCAGAGGAGAGGUCGGGUGUUAGAGCCCCCCUCUAUUUAAUUUUUUUUGUACAUAAAGAGAGAGAGAGAGAGAGAAUUUUUUGUUUGUAAGAUAGUUAUUUAUACAAUAAGUAACAUACAAGAAAGAUUCCAGCGAACUUUAGCUACACCAUUUUUGGACCAUCUUCAGAAGUAGCUAAUUCUUUAAUAGCAUGCAUAAGAUAUUUUUUAUCAAUGAAGAGAAAGGUUUAAAAUGUUCAUGUAGUAUGCAAAUGGAGGGGAGGGGGCUCAUUUACGUAGAUUCAAGCUUUUGCAAUAAUUGAAAGAAAUAUAUGUUUUUUUUUUGUUUUGUUUUUUUUUUUUUUUUUUGCUUGUCAACUAAUAACUAAUUUUCGAGCUCCCCCUUGUUAUAAAUGUAGCUACGAACUUGAAGUGGCCGUGGUGUUAUUCUAUGUAUGAGUGCAUCCUGGGUGCACCGACCUGGACCCCCCCCUUUCAAAAAUUGCUGGAUCCGCCCCCUGAAAAUGACUUCGAUGCGUGUUGAUUACAGUGACUUAAUUCUAAUUUUCAUUCACAAAGUUGUUUUGUUAAUUUUUUUUUAAUUUAUCCCUAUUUUUUAUUUAUAUACUUUUAAGAUUUGUGUGUGUGUACAGGAAUUUAGAGAAAACAAAAGAGGACUGGCUCUCCUUGUCUGAUAUAUGCGCGAUAUAUUCACAAUACAGGCAGGUAUGGAACUAGCGAUUGAGGGCAUUUAAACAGCAAUCAAUUCAUAUCCAUGUACAGUGUAUUUCUUGAUAAAGGGAUAUAAACAUGCAUGUUUUCGUGUUUACAUGUACAUGAAAAGGGGUGGCGAUUCUAGGAUUGACAGUUGGAUUGAAUAUUAUGUUAGGACAUGUCUUUUUCCUGAUAGGAAUCAUAGUAUUGAUGUGUCCUUGUGGAAUUUCUUUAAGACGCAAACUCUGUAAAGGAAAAGUUCUUUUUGGAGUUGACGCAUGUCAGGAAGAAGUAAACAUUACGCAAUCUCCACAAUUACAAACAUCUAUGAAGCUUAACUUGACAGAAGUUCAAAACAACAGUACAGGAGCACCAGAAGUCGGAGAACUAUCUCGAGAUGGGGAAAAGGAUUACUCUGUUGAAUCUAGUAGCUUAAUUGCAAUUUUAACGAUUUUAACAUUUGCUUCUUUAUUUGUCAUUGUAAGUGUCUUCAUAUUAAGGAAUAAACUGAAACAUUGUUUGAAAAGUUUCAGAAAAAGAACAAAAAGAUGUGGGCGAGAUAUUGAAUGAAAGAAAUUUGUACUUAGAACGAAAUUAGAUAGAGACAUUGAAGGACAAGAUUGAUGAAUAUAAACGUUAAAUAUUUCUAUGUUUUCUAAAUGCUUAUGAGGCCAAAAAAAGUAUAUAAUUAUAUGAAUAGAUAAAUGUACCAAUAAAUGAUGAUAUGUUCUAAUAAAAGAAAAGAAGCCUGUAAAGAACUAAAGUAUA